rnacentral:rRNA from 1 species
ACUAGGCCUUUGAUAGGGGUCUUGAAUGAAUGAGUUGACGAUUUUUAAGCUAUCCUAGCUUUGGUUUGGAAAUUUAUCUUUAAGUUAGAAAGCUUAACUCUCUAGAAAGACGAUAAGACCCUAUAAAGCUUUACUAAUAUAGUUAAUAAAGGAAGAAAGAUUUUGUAAAAUUAGUUUAGCUGGGGCGGCAAUAAAAAUUCUUUUAUAGAUUUAACAGAAUUUUUGAGGYGGUAGAUCUAAAAAGAGAUAGAAUAAGCUACUUUAGGGAUAACAGCGCAAUAUUUUUAAAGAGAUCUUAUCGAUAAAAAGGACUUGCGACCUCGAUGUUGAAUUGAGGGGCCUAAAUUAAGCAAAAAUAAUUUAAGGGAGUCUGUUCGACUUUUAAUUCCUCA